UACGUAGGCAGCGAGCGUUGUUCGGAGUUACUGGGCGUAAAGGGUGUGUAGGCGGUUCUUUAAGUUUGGGGUGAAAUCUCCCGGCUCAACCGGGAGGGUGCGCUGAAUACUGAGGGACUAGAGUACGGGAGAGGAAAGUGGAAUUCCUGGUGUAGCGGUGAAAUGCGUAGAUAUCAGGAGGAACACCGGUGGUGUAGACGGCUUUCUGGACCGUAACUGACGCUGAGACACGAAAGCGUGGGUAGCAAACGGG
rnacentral:rRNA from 1 species